rnacentral:lncRNA from 1 species
GAGUAGCUGGGACUAUAGGUGCCCGCCACCACGCCAGGCUAAUUUUUUGUAUUUUUAGUAGAGAUGGGGUUUCACCGUGUUAGCCAGGAUGGUCUCGAUCUUCUGACCUCGUGAUCCGCCCGCCUCGGCCUCCCAAAGUGCUAGGAUUACAGGCGUGAGCCACCGCGCCCGGCAGCAAAUUUUAAGUAUUGAUGGAUGGUUGGGUGACAUGGACUCCAGUAUGUGCCAUGAAGGAUACGAAGAUGAAGCUGUCAUGAACUCUGCUCUCGAGAAGCUACUGUCAAAAUUUGAAGUGCCUGGGUCCACUUACAUGCAGAUUUUCAUCCACUUCUGCCAUCCCUGAUACAGCAAGAACAACACCUCCUCUUUCUUCUCCUCCUCAGCCUUCUCAAUGUGAACACCACAAGGAUGAAGACCUUUAUAAUGAUCCAUCUCCACUUAAUUAAGAAUAAAUAUUUUUUCUCUUACUCAUGAUUUUAUUAAUGGUAUUUUCUUUUCUCUAGCUUACUUUAUUAUAAAAAUACAGUAUAUAAUACAUAUAGCACACAAAAUAUGUGUUGAUCGACUAUUUAUGUUAUUGAUAAGGCUUCCGGUCAAAAGUAGGCUAAUAGUAGCUACAUUUUUUGGCAAAUCAAAGGCUAAUUACUUGGAUCUGAUCACUAUACAUUAUGUAUAUCACAACAUCACUAUGUGCCCCAUAAAUAUGUACAAUUAUUGUGUUUAUUUAAAAUUUGGAAAAUAAAAAGUUACAAAACAUUUUUUUAAAAUUUAAAAUUUAAAA